GCCCCUGUAGUUUAAUUGAAUAGAACACAUGGCUACGGACUAUGAGGCGAGGGUUUGAAUCCUUCUGGGGGUACUA
rnacentral:tRNA from 1 species